rnacentral:rRNA from 1 species
UACGGAGGGUGCAAACGUUGCUCGGAAUCAUUGGGCGUAAAGCGCACGUAGGUGGUUUGUUAAGUCGGAUUUGAAAGCCCCGGGCUCAACUCGGGAAGUGCAUUCGAAACUGGCAGGCUUGAGUAUGGAAGAGGGUCGCGGAAUUCCCGGUGUAGAGGUGAAAUUCGUAGAUAUCGGGAGGAACACCAGUGGCGAAGGCGGCUCUCUGGGACGGUACUGACGCUGAGACGCGAAAGCGUGGGGAGCGAACAGG